UGCAGUCGAGGGGUAGGGGCUUUCGGGCCUUGAGACCGGCGCACGGGUGCGUAACGCGUAUGCAAUCUGCCUUUCACAGAGGGAUAGCCCAGAGAAAUUUGGAUUAAUACCUCAUAGCAUUACAGGAUGGCAUCAUCCUGCAAUUAAAGUCACAACGGUGAAAGAUGAGCAUGCGUCCCAUUAGCUAGUUGGUAAGGUAACGGCUUACCAAGGCGACGAUGGGUAGGGGUCCUGAGAGGGAGAUCCCCCACACUGGUACUGAGACACGGACCAGACUCCUACGGGAGGCAGCAGUGAGGAAUAUUGGUCAAUGGACGCAAGUCUGAACCAGCCAUGCCGCGUGCAGGAUGACGGUCCUAUGGAUUGUAAACUGCUUUUGCACAGGAAGAAACACUCCGACGUGUCGGAGCUUGACGGUACUGUGAGAAUAAGGAUCGGCUAACUCCGUGCCAGCAGCCGCGGUAAUACGGAGGAUCCAAGCGUUAUCCGGAAUCAUUGGGUUUAAAGGGUCCGUAGGCGGUCUUGUAAGUCAGUGGUGAAAGCCCAUCGCUCAACGGUGGAACGGCCAUUGAUACUGCAGGACUUGAAUUAUUGGGAAGUAACUAGAAUAUGUAGUGUAGCGGUGAAAUGCUUAGAGAUUACAUGGAAUACCAAUUGCGAAGGCAGGUUACUACCAAUUUAUUGACGCUGAUGGACGAAAGCGUGGGUAGCGAACAGGAUUAGAUACCCUGGUAGUCCACGCCGUAAACGAUGGAUACUAGCUGUUGGGAGCAAUCUCAGUGGCUAAGCGAAAGUGAUAAGUAUCCCACCUGGGG
rnacentral:rRNA from 1 species